AUGAGGAACUGUAUUAAAGGGUUGCGGCAUUAGGAAGGUUGAGAACCACUGAUCUAACUCAUCUCCCCCACCCCCACCAUUCCACAGAGUAUCUGCUUACUCCCUCUGUAUGUAGGGAUUUGUUGUGAUGCUGCAUCUUGGAACUUGGAAUUAGAGGCCCUGCAUCACACGAACCCAAUUUACAUUUCCACCUUUAGUUUUCGUUUAUAGCAUUGUGCUUUUAUACUGUCCUGAGCAGUAUUAGCACAAUUCAGGACAUUUUCACAGCACAAAUUUAUAUAAUAAAACAUUAGGAAUGUAGAGGGCGGGUUAGGUUAGUUAACUCCUUUUGUGUAUAUUGUUGGGGAUUGUAUUGUGUUUAGCUGUUAUUAAGUUAGUAAAGUUUGUUAGUUAAUUGCUGCUAUUAUUGUAAGGGUUACCGUUAGGUUUAAUAUGUCCAGAAGUUUAAUAAUGCUUAGAAGUUCGUAUAUAGUCACCAUCUCAGAUGUAAUGUUUAACUGAUUUCAUAUGUUUAUUGUUUAUUCAUUGCUGUAUUGUUUUAUUUCUUAUAUAUUGCUACUGUUGUUUGCUGUUUAUAAUGUUAGUUACGUUUAUCGUUGCUCAUAAUGCUGUUUUAUAAUGCUAUGUUAUUGUUGUUACUUCUUGAUAUUUGAUUAUUGUUGCUAUAUUUACUGAUGCUGUAUUUUGUUGGAUCAUGAUUGCUGAUGUUUUUGAUAUUUGAAAUAUGGUUUAUUGCUGUUGCUACUUGAUAUUAUGAUUAUUACUGUUGUGAUGUUUAUUGAUGCUAUAUUAUGUUGUUGUACACCACCCUGAGCCUUUCGGGGGAGGCAGUAUAUAAAUUAAAUUACCAAUUACCAAAUAAAUGGCAAAUUUCUUUCAAGAA